CAGGAUGAACGCUAGCUACAGGCUUAACACAUGCAAGUCGAGGGGCAGCAUGAUCAAAGCUUGCUUUGAUUGAUGGCGACCGGCGCACGGGUGAGUAACGCGUAUCCAACUUCCCCUUAGUAGGGCAUAGCCCGAUGAAAAUCGGAUUAAUACCCUAUGUUCUUCGUAGAAGACAUCUGACAUGAAGCAAAGAUUUAUCGCUAAGGGAUGGGGAUGCGUCCGAUUAGGUAGUCGGCGGGGUAACGGCCCACCGAGCCUUCGAUCGGUAGGGGUUCUGAGAGGAAGGUCCCCCACAUUGGAACUGAGACACGGUCCAAACUCCUACGGGAGGCAGCAGUGAGGAAUAUUGGUCAAUGGACGAGAGUCUGAACCAGCCAAGUAGCGUGCAGGAUGACGGCCCUAUGGGUUGUAAACUGCUUUUAUGCGGGGAUAAAGUGCGGGACGUGUCCCGUUUUGUAGGUACCGCAUGAAUAAGGACCGGCUAAUUCCGUGCC
rnacentral:rRNA from 1 species